rnacentral:rRNA from 1 species
AGCAGCCGCGGUAAUUCCAGCUCCAAUAGCGUAUAUUAAAGUUGUUGCAGUUAAAAAGCUCGUAGUUGAAUUUCGGGAUCAAGUCGUCGGUCGUGCUCAGGUACGUACUGGCGUCAUUGAUUUCUCCCUUCUGACGAACCAUGAUGUCAUUAAUUUGGUGUUAUGGGAAAUCAGGACUGUUACUUUGAAAAAAUUAGAGUGUUUAAAGCAGGCUCACGCUUGAAUACAUUAGCAUGGAAUAAUGAAAUAGGACGUUCGAUCCUAUUUUGUUGGUUUUAGGAUCAACGUAAUGAUUAAUAGGGAUAGUUGGGGGCAUUAGUAUUCAAUUGUCAGAGGUGAAAUUCUUGGAUUUAUUGAAGACUAACUACUGCGAAAGCAUUUGCCAAGGAUGUUUUCAUUAAUCAAGAACGAAAGUUAGGGGAUCGAAGACGAUCAGAUACCGUCGUAGUCUUAACCAUAAAUUAUGCCGACUAGGGAUCGGAUGAUGUUAAUUUUUUAAUGACUCAUUCGGCGCCUUACG